UACGGGGGGAGCAAGCGUUGUUCGGAAUUACUGGGCGUAAAGGGCGCGUAGGCGGCCUGCUAAGUCGAACGUGAAAUCCCCGGGCUCAACCCGGGAACUGCGUCCGAUACUGGUUGGCUUGAAUCCGGGAGAGGGAUGCGGAAUUCCAGGUGUAGCGGUGAAAUGCGUAGAUAUCUGGAGGAACACCGGUGGCGAAGGCGGCAUCCUGGACCGGCAUUGACGCUGAGGCGCGAAAGCCAGGGGAGCAAACGGG
rnacentral:rRNA from 1 species